GAAACCCGAAUGAAUUGAAAAAUUCAUGUUCGGUUUGGGAAGAGAUUUUUAAUUCGUAAAAAUUCUCGAUAAAUAAUCUACUUUCAU
rfam:Physcomitrella patens subsp. patens chloroplast DNA, complete genome.